GACGAACGCUGGCGGCGUGCUUAACACAUGCAAGUCGAACGGAAAGACCUCUUUCGGGGGGUACUCGAGUGGCGAACUGGUGAGUAACACGUGAGUAACCUGCCCUUGACUUUGGGAUAACUUCAGGCAACUGGGGCUAAUACCUGAUAGGAGCUCCUGCUGCAUGGUGGGGGUUGGAAAGUUUCGGCGGUUGGGGAUGGACUCGCGGCUUAUCAGCUUGUUGGUGGGGUAGUGGCUUACCAAGGCUUUGACGGGUAGCCGGCCUGAGAGGGUGACCGGCCACAUUGGGACUGAGAGACGGCACAGACUCCGACGGGAGGCAGCAGUGGGGAAUAUUGAACAAGGGGUGGAAGCCUGAUGCAGCAACGCCGUGGGUGGGAGGACGGCUUUCGGGUUGUAAACCGCUUGCGCUCAUGACGAAGCUUUGUGUGACGGUAGUGGGUAAAGAAGCACCGGCUAACUACGUG
rnacentral:rRNA from 1 species